CCUACGGGAGACAGCAGUGAGGAAUAUUGGUCAAUGGACGAGAGUCUGACCCAGCCACGUAGCGUGAAGGAUGACUGCCCUAUGGGUUGUAAACUUCUUUUAUAUGGGAAUAAAAUGUUCCACGUGUGGGAUUUUGUAUGUACCAUAUGAAUAAGGAUCGGCUAACUCCGUGCCAGCAGCCGCGGUAAUACGGAGGAUCCGAGCGUUAUCCGGAUUUAUUGGGUUUAAAGGGAGCGUAGGUGGAUUGUUAAGUCAGUUGUGAAAGUUUGCGGCUCAACCGUAAAAUUGCAGUUGAAACUGGCAGUCUUGAGUACAGUAGAGGUGGGCGGAAUUCGUGGUGUAGCGGUGAAAUGCUUAGAUAUCACGAAGAACUCCGAUGGCGAAGGCAGCUCACUGGACUGCAACUGACACUGAGGCUCGAAAGUGUGGGUAUCAAACAGGAUUAGAUACCCUAGUAGUC
rnacentral:rRNA from 1 species